UAUUGGUCAAUGGCCGGAAGGCUGAACCAGCCAAGCCGCGUGAGGGAAGACGGCCCUACGGGUUGUAAACCUCUUUAGCCGGGGAACANGGCGCGGGACGCGUCCCGCCGUGAGCGUACCCGGAGAUGAAGCAUCGGCCAACUCCACGCCAGCAGCCGCGGUACUACGGAGGAUGCGAGCGUUAUCCGGAUUUAUUGGGUUUAAAGGGUGCGUAGGCGGGCUGUUAAGUCAGCGGUAAAAUGUCGGGGCUCAACCCCGGCCUGCCGUUGAAACUGGCGGCCUCGAGUGGGCGAGAAGUAUGCGGAAUGCGUGGUGUAGCGGUGAAAUGCAUAGAUAUCACGCAGAACUCCGAUUGCGAAGGCAGCAUACCGGCGCCCUACUGACGCUGAGGCACGAAAGCGUGGGUAUCGAACAGG
rnacentral:rRNA from 1 species